CCUACGGGAGGCAGCAGUGGGGAAUAUUGCACAAUGGGGGAAACCCUGAUGCAGCGACGCCGCGUGAAGGCAGAAGUCUUUCGGUAUGUAAACUUCUAUCAGCAGGGAAGACAAUGACGGUACCUGACUAAGAAGCUCAGGCUAAAUACGUGCCAGCAGCCGCGGUAAUACGUCGGGGGCGAGCGUUAUCCGGAUUUACUGGGUGUCAAGGGAGCGUAGGCGGUGCAGCAAGUCAGAUGUGAAAGCUCGGGGCUCAAUUCCGGGAGUGCUUUUGAAACUGUUAAUCUAGAGUACAGGAGAGGUGAGUGGAAUUCCUAGGGGAGCGGUGAAAUGCGUAGAUAUUAGGAGGAACACCAGUGGCGAAGGCGGCUUACUGGACUGUAAAUGACGCUGAGGCUCGAAAGCGUGGGGAGCAAACAGGAGUAGAUACCCUUGUAGUC
rnacentral:rRNA from 1 species